GGGGCCUCCAGCUACCCUGUGGGUGUCGCCAUCCUGUGUUGGUGUCCUGGUGUCCUGGGGAUUUGUGCCUCCGAACUGUGAGCCUGGCAAGGAAGGCAGCUUCCGAACUUCUUCAAAUGCCCAUCUGGAAACCGGACGUCCAUUGAUCCAAGUGAAAAAUUUCCCUGUACAGUUUUAGGUAUGGGGGAAUCAGUGUGGUUGUGGGGAAGAGCGUGGGCUCGAGAGACCCGGGUGUUUAGGAUGGUGGCCCAGCCUCUUCCGACUGCUUCAU
rnacentral:lncRNA from 1 species